rnacentral:rRNA from 1 species
UGCCAGCCGCCGCGGUAAUACGUAGGGUGCGAGCGUUGUCCGGAAUUAUUGGGCGUAAAGAGCUCGUAGGCGGUCUGUCGCGUCGGAUGUGAAAGCCCGGGGCUUAACUCCGGGUCUGCAUUCGAUACGGGCAGACUAGAGUGUGGUAGGGGAGAUCGGAAUUCCUGGUGUAGCGGUGAAAUGCGCAGAUAUCAGGAGGAACACCGGUGGCGAAGGCGGAUCUCUGGGCCAUUACUGACGCUGAGGAGCGAAAGCGUGGGGAGCGAACAGGAUUAGAUA